ensembl:snRNA U2 U2 spliceosomal RNA
AUCACUUCUCGGCCUUUUGGCUAAGAUCAAGUGUAGUAUCUGAUCUUAUUACAGGGAUCCCUGCUCACCGUGUUUAUAUUAUGUAAUUUUUUAAAGGCUUUGAGAGCUCCUGGAACUCCCUGCAGGCGAUUCCAGGCACUAAAUUUGCCACAGAUCUGCAAAUCCACUUAAAUUUCAGAGAGAGUUGGACUUAU